UAAACUAGGAUUAGAUACCCUAUUAUACUUUAUAUAGAAAUAUAUGGCUGGAGUAGUAAAUAGUUAUGGUCUAUAAAUUUAAAGGAUUUGGCGGUAUUCAAGUCUAGUUAGAGGAGCCUGCACUUUAAACGAUAGUCCACGAAUAAUCUUACUUUGUUUUGUAAUUUCAGUUUGUAUACCGUCAUUAUAAAGUAAUAAUUAAAGUUAUUUAACUAGGAUAGAAAAGUUUUAUUUAUAUUAGAUCAAGGUGCAGCUAAUGAUAAAGUAGUUGUGGGCUACAGUAUUAUGUAGAUAAUACGGAUAAAAUUUUGAAAUAGGUUUUGUAAGGUGGAUUUAAUAGUAAAUUUAUGUUUAAUAAGGUAAGUUGAUAAAAGCUCUAGAAUAUGUACACAUCCCCCGCUCUAGAA
rnacentral:rRNA from 1 species